rnacentral:lncRNA from 1 species
CCCAGCAUUUCAGGCCAAGCCGCUGGCUGCCUGGCUUCUGUUUUUACUCCUUUCCUUCUGUCCCUUUCUGGGACGAGCCACACCUUCUCUGCUUUCUCUGGGCCCGUCCAGGACGCUGGGCCCGGGGCCUGGCGCGGUGAGCUGCAGAUAGCCGGGGGCGCAGGGCAGCCCGGAGGCUGGAGGGCGACCUGGAAGGCUGGACCGGUUCGGGGCAUCUGGUGCUCAAGGAAAGUCAGCUCCCGCCGCCCCUCGGGGCCAGGUGGGUGCAUGAAGUACCCGGUGGCCCAGGUGCCUUUCCCCAACCCAAGGAGCUCAGAACUCUUGGCAGUUCGACGUUUGCAAACAAACCAAAGAGGAGCAGAAAGUUUUCAGACUCAGAGGCGACAUCCCAACAGCUUGGCUUGAAGGAGUACUUUAGGACUCAGAACAACAGGAUGAAGACAGCAGCUAAAAUAGAACACACCAGCAGAGACGUUCAGCUCCUUGAGCUGUGCUUCCGAAGCUCAAGCAUGGCAGAGUGGCCUUGUUAAAUCAGAGUUCAGGGUGCCACCCUGACAGUUUCUGAUUCCGUAGGUGCCCAGUAGGGACCAAGAAUCCUUUUUUUUUUUCCUUUUUCUUUUUAAUAGAGUCAGGGUCUUGCUAUGUUGCCCACAUGGGUCUCAAAUUCAAGCGAUCCUCCCACCUCGACCUCCCAAAGCACUGGAAUUCCAGGCAUAAGCCACCGUGCCUGGCCAAGAACGUUUUUUUUUUUAACAAGUUUCUAAAUGAUGCUGGUCUAUUGGUCCUGGGACCACACUUUGAAAUUGGUGGGAUAGGAGGCUGGGAUCUUUAUCCAUUCACUCAACUCCCAUUCCCCAUGGUUGAAAGUUUCCCUGGGGCAUCCCUGGGAGGCCUGGGGGCUGACAAGAUUCAAACGUUUUGGUGAAAAGCCCCAAGACAGUGAAGUGGGGUGUGCUUGAAGUGGGGCACCGUCAUCACCCACCUACCCACCACAGAGGUGAGCUAAAAGGUAAGGUGUGGCUCACAAAAAUCUUCUGCUAAAUACCUAUCUUUGCCUCCAUUUCUUCCUCUUUAAGACGGGGGUAACUGUACCAGUGUUCUAGGGUAACAUGUACCACCCUUGAAUACAGUGUUGCUCCCUGUCAUGACUCACGGACAGGUUACCAGACCGGAGCCUCCAGCAAUCCAGGAGCACAAACAAGGAUGCCUUAAAACAAAACUUGUGUCAGGGUACCCUUCGCUGCCUCAGAGGAAAUCAGAAUGACCUGGUGGACAACUGUUCAUAAGGACAAGAGCCAGUAUCACUGCCUUUGAGUCCCAGCCUCCUCAAAUCCAUUUUCUGCCCUGCACCACCUCAUCAUAUCCCGGAUAUUGUUAGUGUCGUGUCAUUUCAUGACUCAGGAGCUGCGGGUGACUUUGGCUGCCCUGACAUUUGUUAAAUUGGCUCCUGGGUCCUGGUUUGCAAAUGUUGCCACUUUGAGAUCCGUAGAUGGUCAUCCCUGGCUCCCUUGGGGAGUGUCCUGGAAUCCACCAGCUCCAUCUGCUCGACAAGAGACUUGAGUUUGUUCUGUUACCUCUUUCAUCAUUAGCCAAAGCUCCGGGACUUGGUUAAAACUUUAGGCAAUUAAAAAGACUGACUUAUGGAGAUAGUAGUGUUUUCACUAUAUCGUCCCUGCUUGAAUUUAUGUUCUUGAAUUCCAUUAACCUGAAAUAUAUCAAAAUACCAAGAUGUUAUGAAGAAUGGGAACAAAUAUAGAAAAGUGAAAACA